AACCUAAAUCUAUAUCGCACCGUCCACCGUAUACCUUCGCGAUGCCACCACCACUUUCCUCCUCGCCGCUGGCCGUCCGACCAUCUCUCCUAGCCUCAUCUCCCUCUUCCCCUUCCUAGAUCGACGCCCCUUCCUCUCUCGAUCAGGAUUAGCACACGACGCCCUUUCUUCUCCGUCCAACCACACCGCAUCUCCUCUAACCCCUCCUUUUGGGUGAGAAGAAGAGCCCUUCUUCACAUUCCGGUGAUUUUUCCUUCAUCCAUCUCCGAUCCAGCAUUCCAGCAACUGUUGCUCCCUACCGACUCUAUUUAUUUGGAGAUCGAUCUAGUUUUGUGGCGACUUACAACAAUUAAAAAAAAAGUUUUCUUUGUCCUACAAGAAGUAAGUCAGGGAAGUUCUGAUCGGAAAGGAGUAAACUAGUUGACAAAGCUUGAGCUUUUUCUAGUUUUCUCUUGCCAAAAUCCCUUCUGCGGGGAAAUCUGCGGCAUAAGAAGCAUUGUUUCAGCGCUUUGUGGUCUCAGUUGAUGCCAUUGAAUGAAAACUACGACUUUGGCGACUUAGAUGCAACCAGUGUCGGUUUGAUCUUUGAUCUUUGCAAUGGAUCCAAAGACCAGUAGCUGUCCUUUUGAAUUUCCAUUAGAUUUGGGGAAGCUGUAUCCACUUGUUGCCUGAAUGGUCUUGCAGGGAAAAUGGGAAUUCUGCUUUGAAGGCACUCCUUAAUCAUUGUACCUUUUCCUUUGCAUGUUAGAGUGCUGAUUUGCUGAUGUCCUUGGUAGCGGAGAAAGCUGAGCCUUUGACCGCCUCUUCAUCUUCUCUAGAGGUGGAUCCACUUCUCAAGGAUUUAACAGAGAAAAAGUUGAUCUUUAAGAAGAACGUAGCUACGUUGGCAGCUGAGCUGAAAGAUGUCUGGCGCCACUUGGUUUUGUAGGAGCAGUCAUUUGCGAAAGAGGCCCAUGCUAGGAAGGUAGGUUUUGAUUGUAGUUUUGUAGAUCAGGUUUGGUGGAUGCCUCAGUGGAGGAUGAAAUUGUGAAGUCCCUGACAAGUAGCAGAGAUGAGAGCAGGGAGCAUGGAAGAGGAAAUAGGCCGGUUGUAGAUGUGCUUGCAAGAGAAGGAUGAGAAGCUCAAUGCAACCUUGAGUACCACUCAGCAGGUAAAAGCAUUAGAAGUUUUAUGGUAGAUCCUGCCUUCAGCGAUGGCUAAAACAAUGUGGAAAGAAUGUUGGAAAGGAUCUAUUUAUUCAUGUUGUCUAAAUGCUGAAUAAUUUGGUCAUCUUCAGGAAGUGCAAUGUUUAAAGAAGGAAAACAUGUCUCUUAAAAUAGAGAGUGAGCUAGAGCUACAUGAAGCACGGGUAAUGGGAAUAGAUGGAUCCAGUCACAUUGUAAUAGUCUCAAGAAAGUCCCCUAGAAUUGAACGAGAGCAUGUCCUUGACAAGGUAAAUCUUCACUCUCAGAGCACUUAUGUUGAAACUUAAAAAAAUUAUGAUUUAUAACAUGUAAAAGUGUUGCAAUCCAUUAAUGUUUCUUGAAUGCCACCGCUAAGUUCUUAA